rnacentral:rRNA from 1 species
AGAGUUUGAUCCUGGCUCAGGACGAACGCUGGCGGCGUGCUUAACACAUGCAAGUCGAACGGUGAUGAUGGGGCUUGCUCUGUCGGAUCAGUGGCGAACGGGUGAGUAACACGUGAGUAACCUGCCCCAGACUCUGGGGUAACCCCGGGAAACCGGAGCUAAUACCGGAUAUGACCCUUGUGCGCAUGUGCGGGGGUGGAAAGUUUUUCGGUUUGGGAUGGGCUCGCGGCCUAUCAGCUUGUUGGUGAGGUAGUGGCUCACCAAGGCGACGACGGGUAGCCGGCCUGAGAGGGCGACCGGCCACACUGGGACUGAGACACGGCCCAGACUCCUACGGGAGGCAGCAGUGGGGAAUAUUGCACAAUGGGCGAAAGCCUGAUGCAGCGACGCCGCGUGAGGGAUGACGGCCUUCGGGUUGUAAACCUCUUUCAGCAGGGAAGAAGCGCAAGUGACGGUACCUGCAGAAGAAGCACCGGCUAACUACGUGCCAGCAGCCGCGGUAAUACGUAGGGUGCGAGCGUUGUCCGGAUUAUUGGGCGUAAAGAGCUUGUAGGCGGUUGUCGCGUCUGCUGUGAAAUCCGGGGCUCACUCCGGACUUGCAGUGGGUACGGCAGGCUAGAGUGUGUAGGGAGACUGGAUUCUGGUGUAGCGUGGAUGCGCAGAUAUCAGAGGACACCGAUGGCGAAGCAGUCUCUGGGCACUACUGACGCUGAGAAGCGAAGCAUGGGAGCGACAGGAUAGAUAUCCUGGUAGUCAUGCCGUAACGUUGGCGCUAGGUGUGGGACUCAUUCCACGAGUCCGUGCCGCAGCUAACGCAUUAAGCGCCCCGCCUGGGGAGUACGGCCGCAAGGCUAAAACUCAAAGGAAUGACGGGGGCCCGCACAAGCGGCGGAGCAUGCGGAUUAAUUCGAUGCAACGCGAAGAACCUUACCAAGGCUUGACAUACACCGGACACAUCCAGAGAUGGGUGCUUCCUCGGACUGGUGUACAGGUGGUGCAUGGUUGUCGUCAGCUCGUGUCGUGUGAUGUUGGGUUAAGUCCCGCAACGAGCGCAACCCUCGUCCUAUGUUGCCAGCACGUGAUGGUGGGGACUCAUAGGAGACUGCCGGGGUCAACUCGGAGGAAGGUGGGGAUGACGUCAAAUCAUCAUGCCCCUUAUGUCUUGGGCUUCACGCAUGCUACAAUGGCCGGUACAAAGGGCUGCGAAACCGCGAGGUGGAGCGAAUCCCAAAAAACCGGUCUCAGUUCGGAUUGGGGUCUGCAACUCGACCCCAUGAAGUCGGAGUCGCUAGUAAUCGCAGAUCAGCAACGCUGCGGUGAAUACGUUCCCGGGCCUUGUACACACCGCCCGUCAAGUCACGAAAGUCGGUAACACCCGAAGCCGGUGGCCCAACCCUUGUGGGGGGAGCCGUCGAAGGUGGGACUGGCGAUUGGGACUAAGUCGUAACAAGGUAACC